UACGUAGGGUGCAAGCGUUGUCCGGAAUUAUUGGGCGUAAAGAGCUCGUAGGCGGUCUGUUGCGUCGGCUGUGAAAACCCGGGGCUCAACCCCGGGCCUGCAGCCGAUACGGGCAGACUAGAGUUCGGCAGGGGAGACUGGAAUUCCUGGUGUAGCGGUGAAAUGCGCAGAUAUCAGGAGGAACACCGGUGGCGAAGGCGGGUCUCUGGGCCGAUACUGACGCUGAGGAGCGAAAGCGUGAGGAGCGAACAGG
rnacentral:rRNA from 1 species